rnacentral:rRNA from 1 species
GUGAGGUGUCGGGUUAAGUCCCGCAACGAGCGCAACCCCUAUUCUCAGUUGCCAGCACAUAAUGGUGGGCACUCUGUGGAGACUGCCCGGGUUAACCGGGAGGAAGGUGGGGAUGACGUCAAGUCAUCAUGGCCCUUACGCCUAGGGCUACACACGUACUACAAUGGUCGGUACAAAGGGUUGCCAAGCCGCGAGGUGGAGCUAAUCCCAUAAAACCGAUCGUAGUCCGGAUCGCAGUCUGCAACUCGACUGCGUGAAGUCGGAAUCGCUAGUAAUCGUGAAUCAGAAUGUCACGGUGAAUACGUUCCCGGGCCUU